GUAACCUCCCCUUGCUCCCCACUCUCGGCCUCCCUCACCCUAGCCGCACACUCUUCCUUCCCACUCUCGGCUUAACCUAGCCGCACCAGUGAAGGCGGAUCUAGCACCUGGGCAGUGGCAAUGAUGAAUCAUCCUCCUUCCAAGCAGCGUGGAUCAGUGCCAUGGCGACCUAGCGCGCUCCCUUCCCGACCUUGACCUCGAAGAACGGCUUCCCCAAGAUCGCUUUCCCAUUCGUGUAUGAUUUCCUUCUUCCAUCAAACAAUCACUCCUGAUGUCAUCUCAAUCUCAAUUUUGUAGAGGUGUUGCUAUAUUGGAUGUGGUGAAUUUAUUUGGGCAGAUCCUGGAGAUAGGGAGGGGGAGGUUGUGGCUGCGGGCAAUGGCGAACAUAACCAACAGAGGUCGCUCGUGUAUUUUUUGAAGUUAUUUUCCCAAUACCAGAUCAGUUAGCUGAAAUCGAAGAGAACCUUGAAGAUUCAGAUUACAACUGAAAAGUUGUACCUUACUUGAAUAUUAAUUCUUAAUUUUUCAUGUGCAAGGCAUGGUGCUCUCCGCUGGUUCUACUCCCUGGUUGAACAAGCUCCUGAUCCAUGUUACAAGACAGGUGAAUAGCAAUGAAUUUCAGAGAUAAAGAUUGAGCUUUGAGGAAACAGGCCUUGACAAGGAUUGGCUGAAUUAUAGUCAUGAUUUUCUGCUUUUCAGAGCAUUUUGCUGCCGAAUUGAAUACUAUUUGGAAAUUUCUCAUAGCAAUAUUGUUUGUUCCACUCCUUUUAUUAUUCUCUGAAGAGGAAUAAAGAAUCAAAUUGUCGUUUACUUCAGCAAUGUCAUGCCCCUGUCGUCCGGCCUCCGCGCUGGUUUAAGGUGACUGCUUUUUACAAUCUGAAAGCGAAAAGGGAGCUAUACACAACCGCUCCAUAUAUUUUUGGAGAUACGGUUGGAUUCAAUUCAAUUCCUAUAAAUGGCAGGAGAGAUGCAAAUCAAUCAGAUUGUGCACUGCAAGGUUUGCUUCUUAUGCUCGGUCCGCAUUUGUACAUUUUUAAACGGUAUUUCAUUAGACAUGAGAACAAAUGUAAACUUCCAAGGUUCUUCUAUCAGCAUUGCGACAGUGGGCAGAUUUUCAGCUUUCUUUCUCAAAAUUCUCAUCGCAAUGUUUAUCAGAAUGUCAGAUAUUCCUAUUUGGGGAUAUUUUUUAAAGAGCAAUACUCCUGUUUGUAAAACUGUACUAUUUCCCA